rnacentral:rRNA from 1 species
UGGGGAAUAUUGCACAAUGGGCGCAAGCCUGAUGCAGCCAUGCCGCGUGUGUGAAGAAGGCCUUCGGGUUGUAAAGCACUUUCAGCGGGGAGGAAGGCGGUGAGGUUAAUAACCUCAUCGAUUGACGUUACCCGCAGAAGAAGCACCGGCUAACUCCGUGCCAGCAGCCGCGGUAAUACGGAGGGUGCAAGCGUUAAUCGGAAUUACUGGGCGUAAAGCGCACGCAGGCGGUCUGUCAAGUCGGAUGUGAAAUCCCCGGGCUCAACCUGGGAACUGCAUUCGAAACUGGCAGGAGAGAGUCUUGUAGAGGGGGGUAGAAUUCCAGGUGUAGCGGUGAAAUGCGUAGAGAUCUGGAGGAAUACCGGUGGCGAAGGCGGCCCCCUGGACAAAGACUGACGCUCAAGUGCGAAAGCGUGGGGAGCAAACAGG